rnacentral:lncRNA from 1 species
AUUGUGGCUGGGCAUCCUCGUUUUUCUGAACAAAUAUGCUCCUACUCUUGACAGUGCAUCGAUUUUGCUUCUUGGGACAGUUUCCAACUUUGUGGCCUUCUUCACCGCAAUAUAAGCAUAGACCUUCUUCCAUACACUGCUUUUUUUCUUCUAGAGUAAGGAAUUUGAUACGUACCACAUCAAUUUGCAUGUCUUCUACCUCUGAAUGUGAAUUCAUGCUGCUUGUUGACAUAGUUG